UGUAAGUUUACUUUCGAGGUGUAACUUUACACCAAUUUGGUGUCGCCACAGAGGAAAGUAGAUUUACACCAAAGAAGUGCUAGAUAACCUAUGGCAGUGUAAGUUUACUCUCUCAGUGUAAACAAACACCAAAUUGGUGUCCCCACAGAGGCAAGCGGAUUUACACCAAAGCAGCGUCAAAUAACCUAGGACAGUGUAAGUUUACCCUCUCAGUGUAAAUAAACACCAAAUUGGUGUCCCCACAGAGGCAAACGGAUUUACACCAAAGCAGCGUUAAGUAACCUAGGAUAGUGUAAAUUUACUCUCUCAGUGUAAACAAACACCAAAUUGGUGUCCCCACAGAGGCAAGCGGAUUUACACCAAAGCAGCGUUAAAUAACCUAGGAUAGUGUAAGUUUACCCUCUCAGCGUAAAUAAACACCAAAUUGGUGUCCCCACAGAGGCAAGCGGAUUUACACCAAAGCAGCAUCAAAUAACCUAGAAUGGUGCAAAUUAACACCAAAUGGGUGUUCAUAUAGACACAACUAUUUACACUGAAGAGGUGUAAAAUAACACUGAAAUCAGUGUUAACUGACACCUUUUCGGUGUCCCCACAGAGGCAAGAAUUUACACCGAUUUUGGUGUUCUGGCAACACUCCCAGAUUUACAGUGUAGUAUUGAUGUAUAAAGUCUUGGGGAACCACACUGCGCCAAACCUUAAAGAUCUUUUUUCUCGGAGAAAUGCAUCGCAGAAUAUUUAUGAUUUACGC